GGGUUCACCAAGGGGAGCCCCGGCAGGGGGCUGAGAAACUGCUACGGCUGAGAAAUCAGACAGCGCAGUGACCCGUUGAACCUGAUCCAGUUCAUACUGGCGUAGGGAGGGUGCAAACGCAUGAC
rnacentral:ncRNA from 2 species